UUCUAUGGCCAUGCCACUGUGAACAUGCCCGAUCCCAUCUGAUCUCGGAAGCUAAGCAGGGCUGGGCCUGGUUAGUACUUGGAUGGGAGACCACCUAGGAAGACCAAGUACUGUAGACG
rnacentral:rRNA from 1 species